GCACACUCAACUGCCCUUAAAGCUUCCAUACCUCAAAAACAGAAACAGGACAGGAGAGAACAGGAUGUGGCGAGAUCACAUGCUUAGCGUGUAAAGGUAAUACUGAUCCAAAAUAUCUUGCAUUUGGGAAAAGCAAUGAUUAUUUUAAUCUCCAAGAGAAGUUAAGAACAAGUCACAACCAAAAAGUAAGUAUUUGUCCUGAUUUGCAGGUCAAUUUAGGUCCUCAAAAAC
rnacentral:lncRNA from 1 species